GAUGAACGCUGGCGGCGUGCCUAAUACAUGCAAGUCGAGCGAACGGACGAGAAGCUUGCUUCCCUGAUGUUGGCGGCGGACGGGUGAGUAACACGUGGAUAACCUACCUAUAAGACUUGGAUAACUUCGGGAAACCGGAGCUAAUACCGGAUGAUAUUUUGAACCGCAUGGUUCAAAAGUGAAAGACGGUCUUGCUGUCACUUGUAGAUGGAUCCGCGCUGCAUUAGCUAGUUGGUAAGGUAACGGCUUACCAAGGCAACGAUGCAUAGCCGACCUGAGAGGGUGAUCGGCCACACUGGAACUGAGACACGGUCCAGACUCCUACGGGAGGCAGCAGUAGGGAAUCUUCCGCAAAGGGCGAAAGCCUGGCGGAGCAACGCCGCGUGAGUGAUGAAGGUCUUCGGAUCGUAAAACUCUGUUAUUAGGGAAGAACAUAUGUGUAAGUAACUGUGCACAUCUUGACGGUACCUAAUCAGAAAGCCACGGCUAACUACGUG
rnacentral:rRNA from 1 species